rnacentral:rRNA from 1 species
GGAUGAACGCUGGCGGCGUGCUUAACACAUGCAAGUCGAACGGUGAACACGGAGCUUGCUCUGUGGGAUCAGUGGCGAACGGGUGAGUAACACGUGAGCAACCUGCCCCUGACUCUGGGAUAAGCGCUGGAAACGGCGUCUAAUACUGGAUAUGUGACGUGACCGCAUGGUCUGCGUUUGGAAAGAUUUUUCGGUUGGGGAGGGGCUCGCGGCCUAUCAGCUUGUUGGUGAGGUAAUGGCUCACCAAGGCGUCGACGGGUAGCCGGCCUGAGAGGGUGACCGGCCACACUGGGACUGAGACACGGCCCAGACUCCUACGGGAGGCAGCAGUGGGGAAUAUUGCACAAUGGGCGAAAGCCUGAUGCAGCAACGCCGCGUGAGGGAUGACGGCCUUCGGGUUGUAAACCUCUUUUAGCAGGGAAGAAGCGAAAGUGACGGUACCUGCAGAAAAAGCGCCGGCUAACUACGUGCCAGCAGCCGCGGUAAUACGUAGGGCGCAAGCGUUAUCCGGAAUUAUUGGGCGUAAAGAGCUCGUAGGCGGUUUGUCGCGUCUGCUGUGAAAUCCCGAGGCUCAACCUCGGGCCUGCAGUGGGUACGGGCAGACUAGAGUGCGGUAGGGGAGAUUGGAAUUCCUGGUGUAGCGGUGGAAUGCGCAGAUAUCAGGAGGAACACCGAUGGCGAAGGCAGAUCUCUGGGCCGUAACUGACGCUGAGGAGCGAAAGGGUGGGGAGCAAACAGGCUUAGAUACCCUGGUAGUCCACCCCGUAAACGUUGGGAACUAGUUGUGGGGUCCAUUCCACGGAUUCCGUGACGCAGCUAACGCAUUAAGUUCCCCGCCUGGGGAGUACGGCCGCAAGGCUAAAACUCAAAGGAAUUGACGGGGACCCGCACAAGCGGCGGAGCAUGCGGAUUAAUUCGAUGCAACGCGAAGAACCUUACCAAGGCUUGACAUAUACGAGAACGGGCCAGAAAUGGUCAACUCUU